ACCUACAGCCAUGCCACCCUGAACAUGCCCGAUCUCGUCUGAUCUUGGAAGCUAAGCAGGUCAGGUCUGGUUAGUACUUGGAUGGGAGACCAAGUACACCUAGGAAAACCAGAUACUGUAGUUG
ensembl:rRNA 5S_rRNA 5S ribosomal RNA